UACACCUAGCAGUGCGUGGAUUAAACAGUUAAGCGCUGCACUUCCAGAAUCAUUUAGUAUCACUUUCUAGCGCCUGCACGGAACUUUUAUUUGGUUUCUUUAGAAUUUGGCACAAACUGAGUUAAUCGUUUGGGCGACUUUUGUUAUGAUUUGGCGCUAUAUAAAUAAAAUUGAAUUGAAUUGAAUUAAUCCAUCCUUCUUUUUAUACUUACAUCUAAACUGACUUAACAUUACCCAAGAGCAGCCAGAGGGUCUCAAACUACAAGCUUGAAUUUAAAAGAUGAACGUGCAAAAUGACACUUUGUGAGUUAAGAGAUAAAUCCUUCCACUGCUGAUACGAUCUGCCCGUAAAUAUCAAGUCUAUACAACAACAGGGCUGAUGAGUGCACUAAAAUCCUCUCCUCACAGAUAUAAUGCUAAAGUCAAGUCCUUGUCUCUCGUUCGGCUGCCUGCUGUCACGAAGCUAUCCUUUGGUUUCUAUUUCUCUGCACUGUCAGGUUCACAGAAGACGGUAUUGUAAUUUGUAGUCAGUUCACAUGAGCUCCAACUGAGGAGUGGGAGACCCACAUCCUCAUGUAGGCCUUUAGAAAAAAAGGAAGGAUUACAUCACAGAGGAGCAUCUGAAAUACAGAGUCAAUCCCCCGAGCUCACCAGCACACCACAGCUUCUAAACUACCGCUCUCUUUUGUCUCUUUGCACUAACGUAGCAUUGCAGGUAGCAGAGAUAAGACUUUUGUCUAAAGACCAUGAUUAAUGGACUGCUUCAACUGUGAAAGCCACUGUAACACAAUUAGGAUUACAGUCUCGUCAGCAGGGUAUGUGAGACGGUACAGCCUGCUCUUCCAAACAGGUGGCCGAUGUAGUAGAGGGGGAAGAAGAGGCAGUUCCACGUGGUGGCGAACCAGGUGAGGGUGAAGGGAGCAUCAAACUGCUUAAAGGUCAGCUUGGCCAGCUGGGUGGAGCCUGCCCAGGAGGAACACACGCACAUCACCAUGGCGACUCCCCAUAGAGCCUUCCGCACUUGUACAGCUGUCACUCGGAUGCAGCAGUGAAGCCGCCGUCUGCUGGAGCCGGACUCUGCUCCUGCAGCACCGGCCGACUGCGCGUCUGUGGUGCCCACCACAUUCUCUCUGGAGCGAUCUUCCCCUAAAGACGGACACAUACAUGACAGACUGAUGUCCAAACACACCGAUACUGCAGACCUGUGCCUGGUGGGCAGGAAAUCAUCAAUGCCAAAUGGGAACAUCUGGGCCUGGUGUUUCCAGACUAUGAAACCGUUGCUGGCAUGCCACUUGAUUCUUUCUCUCCUGCCUGGCGUCUGAGUUUCUGCAUGUACUUACUUUCUUUUCAGUUCUUUCAUGCUGUUUUCCAGCACCUUGUAGCACUUUCACACUAUUUCCACUCCCAUGCACGUCCUGCUUCACUGAUGCCUACUGUUACACCUGAUUUGAUCAAAUUAUUUUGAUAAAAUGUCACAUAAAGUGCUUUUUGUCACAGCCUUCAGAGGUUGCCAGGUUGUGGCAUUUUUUUCUCCCUAAGCAUCAUGUGGAUACAGUAUAUUAUCUUUUGCAGCAAAACUGACUCCAGAUCAUACCAGUCUUGUCAUCAUUUUCCGGAUAAAAAUAGCUGCUUUCAAACUUAAACUGAACUUGAAGGUAAUCAAUCCGAGUUAGAAAUGUGGCGAUCAAGUGUGACAGGCGGCAGUGAAACAGAGGGCACAUGAGGGCAGACGUGAUAUCCAAUCCAAGAUGACCUCUUCUCCACCGCAUGAGCUGCAGCAGCAUGUGUGUUUGCCCUAGCGUGCAAAGACACACACCGCAACACUUAACUUUUCUAUUUCUCUUGUCAAAACCUGAUAGCCUCCAUACUUCUUCACUAAUGUGAGAACUGAAGCGAAGUGUUGGCGUACAGUUUUCGGCCCCACUCUCACCCACUCUGUGCUUCAGAACCAAUUUGCUUACCAAGAUCAUUUUGUUCUCUCGAAUCACUGAACUUACCAACUUUGUGUCCUCUACAAAGUUCAGACACUGCUGCAUGAUCAUGGAAAUGACACACAGUGUUUUACAAAAAUAUGACAGUUAAAUGCAACAAUUAUGGCAGCUCUUAACCCGUUAAAGCUAAAACAAUUAAAUAAUUGCCAUAAAAUUCAAAUUUGUUGAAGAUGGGAGGAGUUAUUGAACCUUUAAAAAAAUAAAAUAAAAAUGUAUUAAUAUUAAUUUACAUAUAUGAGUUUUAAUUGUAUCAUAUUUGCUACUUUUGACUUUUUUUUUUAAUUUAUUGCUUAAAAACAGAACAAAAACUCAUGUAUCAAAUAUGACACGCUGGGCAUUAAGGGGGUUAAUUUAGACAGAUAAGCUUUCACUCGAUUUGUACUGAUAAUUAACGUCUUUCUAAAACUAACAAUAAUAAGAGCACUCAGAUAGCACAAUUCCCCCGAUGAUAUUUUUAGUCAUGCUGACAUCAGCCUGUUAUGGCGUGAUUGUGACAUUAUAUAGCGUCAAACUGAAAAACUAAAAAGUGUAUCGUACAGCCCUCUCCAUGCCCUUUCAUAUGACAUAUUACUCAAUAUGGUUUCUUGAAUUUUUUUAAAGGUCUACUUUGACCUUGAAAGUCAAAAACCACAGUCAAAGUCAAACGCUUAGCCAACUUAUGUACUGACGUCCCCCGAGGCCUAUAAUAUUAUUGUGACGUUCAAAGACAAUCAGUAAAAAAUUGUGAGUAACAUAAAGUUUUUACAGAUUUUCACAAAUCAUUUUAGGCUCUUUUUGACCAUGUAGCUAAACCCGCACCACCUAGAGCAAAACUACAUGACCGCAACUCUGCAAUCGGUUUAGUGAGAGUGCAACACAAUAAACAGCACAACCUCAUAUCAGCUCUAUUUCAUAACAGCUGCAUAAUAGGCAUCAUGCAUCUUCGGUCGCUUCCUACCUUCCAAAAUGUUGAAAAUGAGCGAUCUCCCUAAUGGUGUUUCCAGUGGUAAUGAUGUGCUGCGGGGAGCCUUUCGCCAAUUCAUCACUGCACUGUAUGCUGUUGACUGGAAUACUGAAUGCACUUCAAAGGGCCUCGGUGAGGGAAGAAUAAAUUUAACUUGAUUUGAUUACGCUGUGGAAAUGAUUGUCUGACGGCAUCAACAGGACACUCAGCUCUCAAAAUAUUGUCGCUGUGCCGUAUCAGUUGUUGCUGUAUACGCGGCACUGUCUGCAGUUCUGUGAAUGUGAUCUGUGUAAUAAUAAAAGAAUAAAA